AUUGAACGCUGGCGGCAGGCCUAACACAUGCAAGUCGAGCGGAUGAAGGGAGCUUGCUCCUGGAUUCAGCGGCGGACGGGUGAGUAAUGCCUAGGAAUCUGCCUAGUAGUGGGGGAUAACGUCCGGAAACGGGCGCUAAUACCGCAUACGUCCUGAGGGAGAAAGUGGGGGAUCUUCGGACCUCACGCUAUCAGAUGAGCCUAGGUCGGAUUAGCUAGUUGGUGGGGUAAAGGCCUACCAAGGCGACGAUCCGUAACUGGUCUGAGAGGAUGAUCAGUCACACUGGAACUGAGACACGGUCCAGACUCCUACGGGGGGCAGCAGUGGGGAAUAUUGGACAAAGGGCGAAAGCCUGAUCCAGCCAUGCCGCGUGUGUGAAGAAGGUCUUCGGAUUGUAAAGCACUUUAAGUUGGGAGGAAGGGCAGUAAGUUAAUACCUUGCUGUUUUGACGUUACCAACAGAAUAAGCACCGGCUAACUUCGUG
rnacentral:rRNA from 1 species